UUUUAUGGAGAGUUUGAUCCUGGCUCAGGAUGAACGCUGGCGGCGUGCCUAAUACAUGCAAGUCGAGCGAACGGACGAGAAGCUUGCUUUUCUGAUGUUAGCGGCGGACGGGUGAGUAACACGUGGAUAACCUACCUAUAAGACUGGGAUAACUUCGGGAAACCGGAGCUAAUACCGGAUAAUAUUUU
rnacentral:rRNA from 1 species